rnacentral:rRNA from 1 species
AUAGCGUAUAUUAAAGUUGUUGCCGUUAAAAAGCUCGUAGUCGAACUUCGGUCCCUGUCGGUCGGUCCGCCUUCUUGGUGUGUACUUACUCGACGGGGACUUACCUCCUGGUGAGCUGUGAUGUCCUUUACUGGGUGUCAUAGGGAACCAGGACGUUUACUUUGAAAAAAUUAGAGUGUUCAAAGCAGGCCUACGCCCGAAUACAUUAGCAUGGAAUAAUAGAAUAGGACGCGCGUUCCCAUUUUGUUGGUUUCUGAGAUCGCCGUAAUGAUUAAUAGGGAUAGUUGGGGGCAUUCGUAUUCCGUCGUCAGAGGUGAAAUUCUUGGAUUGCCGGAAGACGAACUAUUG